rnacentral:tRNA from 2 species
GUCUCCGUAGCUCAGCAGGUAGAGCAACUGACUUUUAAUCAGUGGGUCAGACGUUCGAAUCGUCCCGGAGACACCA